ensembl:snRNA U1 U1 spliceosomal RNA
UCAGAUACCUGACAGGGGAGAUGCCAUGAUCAGGCAGGCGGUUUUCCCAGGUGAGGCUCACUCAUUGCACUUGGGCUGUGCUGACCCCUGAGAUUUCCCCAAAUGUGAGAAACUGGACUGCAUAAUUUGUGGUAGUGGGGGACUGCGUUCGCGCUCUGCCCUG